CGGCGUGGUGAUGUCAGACGCAGGGGUAGCGGCUGGAAGCGGGAAGAGGAGGAGGAUCGGGCAGUGAUGAGGGCCCGAGGCUUCGUCUCUAGUUGUGAGGUUGCGGAUCUCACGCUGGACUUGGCUUCUUCUCGGUCGCGGGUCUGUGCGACGACCGUUCGGACAGGCGAUGGUGUUAGUAAUCCUGGCCUCGGUGCAGUGGGACGGCCGGGCCUGGGCCUGGGCCUGGGCCUGGGCCGGGGAUGUAUCCAGGUGGUCCUCCACAGGGUGAGGCUACAGCCCAGCCAGCGCCAGGAUGUGCUCAGGAGAGGGUUCACCGGGUCAGCAGCAUCAUUGCAGUAUAGCUUGAAGAAAAUGGAUCUGCCUCCAUUAGAAAGUCGAAAGUUCUAUUUUGAUACUCAUGCAGUCGUACGUGAAUUGGAAGGAUAUGGUUUCAGCAGUAAGCAGUCAGAAGUUGUGGUAGCUGCACUACUGAGAGUCAUGAACUCCAGUAUGGAAGUUAUGUAUAAGGAUAUGGCGACCAAAAUUCAACAAGAGGUAAUGCUUCAACAGAUUAUGUCACACAUAACUGCUGUGAAAAAGGAUAUGAUUAUACUGGAGAAGAGUGAGUUUUCAGCAAUACGAGCUGCAAAUGAGAAACUGAAAAUUGAAUUGCAACAGCUCAAAAAACAGUUAGUGGAUGAAGUUGUCAAGAUAUCAUCAAACAACAAAUUAGACAUGAAUUUGGAAAAAAGUAGAGUUCAAGAAAUGUUAACGGGGCAUGAAAGGAGAGUACUGGAAACCAGAGCUGAUAUAGUUGAGUUGCAUUCACAGCAAAACCGAGCUGUGACUCAAAUAAAUCGAAAGAUAGACACUGAAGUAGCAGGACUGAAAACUCUGUUAGAGUCUCACAAACUUGACACAAUUAAAUAUUUAGCAGGUUCCGUUUUCACCUGUCUUACCAUAGUACUUGGAUUUUAUCGUCUCUGGGUAUGAAAUUUAAUCGCCCACUGGAACUUGGUUUUCAUCUUCAAGUUAUCAGGAAAAGGAGCCGUAGUGAUUUAAAUAAAAAGCAGAGAUACAAUCAUUUGAGAAGAUGCAGAAAAUUCACGUAUCAUGAGGUGCAAGAAGACAUCAGAUGCAUGAGGAGUUUUCCCAGUGGAAUUCAUUCCUUCAGGAAAAGCAAACAUUUACUAAAAUACUUGAAUUUUCUUCUUAUUUUUACCUUUGAGAGGUAAUACAGUAUUAACUUUGAACCUCUGCUAUUUCAGUAUAAUGGCAAUGGUUGCAGUUUCUUUGGUUAAAAUUUAAAGUUGCUGCUUAGUUUGCAUGUGGCUUUUGUUUCUGCCUUAAGGUCUUUUUAAAUUCCUUGCAUUUAAUGUUGAAAUUUUGACUAUCUGCUUCUGCAGUUCUAUCCUGUUCACCUAAACAUAACAUGCAUAUAACUAAUCAAUAAAAAGGAUGAAGUGCAUUUUAACAGGAUAUAUUAAUAU